rnacentral:lncRNA from 1 species
GGGGAAAGGCAGGUCCAUACCAAGAUAAGGCCAAGUCCCUGCCCUUCACUGGCUCAUAAUUAGAUAGAAGAGAUGGAUGCAAACACUGACAUGGGAUGGAACUCAAGGCAGAAUGGAAGAUCAUGGAGAAGAAAUGCAAGGAGCUGUUAAAGCUUUGUGAAUUGGGAAUGAGAAGACCAAGAGUUACCUGGAUUCAUUAGAACCAAGCUGAUAAUUUAAGAAACCAAAACACUGAAGAGUGAUUUCAGAGGUGGACCCUAAGGAGGAGAUUUGUUCUUGUGCUCAGCAGACAACUAAUUUGUACCUGUGUCCUAGUUAAGGCUGACUUCCCAAACAAGGUCUAGAAGUCAGAUUAUUUCUGACUCAGAAACAAUCUCUAAACCAAAGAAUACUGGCUGUAAGUCUGUUUUAGAUCAUUAACAAAGUAGUCAGUUGACAGUAACCUAUAAAAGCUUUUGAAAUACAUACUUUGAUCCCAAGUGUAUCUAUUUUCAUUCUUGUUUGCUAGCUAAGCAAUUUAUUAAAAAUGUUUAUUAAAUAUCUUCUUUGUCAAAGAACAUAUUCCCUUAGGACUGUGAAGAUGUAAUGAAAUGAGAAUAUUAUAGCCAAAAGGGUAGAAGGAAGACUGUCUUUCUAAGUCUGUAUGAAAAACUGCUCUAGUAAGUUAAAAAACAAACAAAAAAGGCUGAAGCAGGCAGAUUACAAGAGUAUUGGAGAGAAUGACUCUCUCCAAGUGUAGCUGGGCACAGGUUCUGUUUUCUAAGAUUUGGGUGUCCUUUUCCUAACCUAGCAAGAAGCGCCCAACAGCAAUUUUUGAGGACAAGCAGGGCGCUGUGGGAGAGUGAGAAGAUUUCUCAGAGUGACACUGGCCCAUGAGGGGAGGGAGUGUGGGAAGUAUUUUGGCAAAGGGGGGUUCACAUUUUGUACAGGCAGCCAAAGAAGGAGUCAGAAAGAUUCACAGAAGGAUAAUGCUGAUGACCAUACCAAUCUGAAGAAUGUAUUUGUUCUGUUUAAAGUUACAGUUAAUGGUGCUUACAAGAAUAUGCCUCCUACAUACCCAAGCUCAAUUCUAAG